rnacentral:rRNA from 1 species
AGGACGAACGCUGGCGGCGUGCUUAACACAUGCAAGUCGAGCGGAAAGGCCCUUCGGGGUACUCGAGCGGCGAACGGGUGAGUAACACGUGAGUAAUCUGCCCCUAGCUCUGGGAUAGCUCCGGGAAAACCGGGAUUAAUACCAGAUACGACCACUUUAGACAUCUGUUGUGGUGGAAAGAAUUUUGGCUAGGGAUGAGCUCGCGGCCUAUCAGCUUGUUGGUGAGGUAACGGCUCACCAAGGCGACGACGGGUAGCCGGCCUGAGAGGGCGACCGGCCACACUGGGACUGAGACACGGCCCAGACUCCUACGGGAGGCAGCAGUGGGGAAUAUUGCGCAAUGGGCGAAAGCCUGACGCAGCGACGCCGCGUGGGGGAUGAAGGCCUCGGGUUGUAAACCCUUCAGCAGGACGAAGCGAAAGUGACGGUACCUGCAGAAGAAGCGCCGGCUAACUACGUGCCAGCAGCCGC